CACAUGGAACAUAGACCAAGUUGUGCUUAGGAUUCCAGAGGAAACAGAAAGCCAGGGGGCUGACCGAGGGCCUGGCCUCACCCUGGCCACCCUGAGUGGUGACCGUCACACUGGCCUGAGAGCAAAGGGCAAGGCGGACAGUUCCGGCUCGGCCUCUGACUCGUGUGAGCUUGCCCUCUCCAGACCUUGAUGUCCUUAGAGGGACUUUGCAUCCAGAGGAUCCACUUCCACGGAUACGCUGACUGGUACCAGAAAUCCCCCCACCAUAAAGUCACCUCGUUCAGGCCCUGACUCAACUAUCAAAGAAUUGUUCAUUUAAUCUGGGUGAACAAUAACAAAGAAUGAAAGGCAAGAAUGAAGAACCAAGUGGGAUGCUUGCCUACCUAUUUACUUGACACUUAGCCUGUGAUCAGGACUCUUCUGCUCUUAUUUGUGACCUGGACUCUCUUCACGAAGAAUUCUGGAAUUCCAGGCAGCCAGCUUCCCGCAGUGCUGGGAUAAAGGAGCACUGGAUUUGCAGCCAGGCACACUUGAAUUCCAGCCCCAGAUCUACCCCUGCUUUCUGGGCCAUCCCAGACAAGUCACUAAGACAAGAAAGCUAAAGCUCGGGGCGGUUAGUGAUGCCUGCCACUCAGCGCCGCUGUAAAGAUCAAGGAGGAAAACAGGUUCAAGGAGAAGAGUGGAGAUGCCAGAUAAGUCAGAUGCCCGGUCAGGCGAGAAGCCCAUCUGUGGACCAUGCAUCAGUAGCAGCUGCCUGCUACACUUCUCCCGGCAAGAGGAAAAGCACAAGCUCUGGCUUUGCCAUCCCACGGGCCUAGCGGUGUGUCAGGUCACCCAGCCUUGGUGCCUAUGGGCAGCGGGGAUGGAGGGGCUGCUGUGGCACUCACAGCUCUCUUGCAUCUCUCUGGACACCAGCUCUGCACCCAGUGCCCACCUGGAGGCUCAGCCUGGGACUGGAGCUCUACCUGGAAAACCAGGUGAUCCUCCUUCCUGAAGCUAGAUCCUGCUAUCUAGAGAGUUAAGAACUUCCCAAAUAUCAUAUAACUAUAAAAUAACCAGGCAAGGGAUUUAAACUAGGUUUGCUUGACUCUGAAGCUCUGUUCUUUCUAGCACUGUUGCGCUGCUUCUUGGUUUGUACUGGAGGGGAAAAGCGAUGCUACCUUUCCAAUUGGCAAAAUAAAUAAAGCACAUAA